rnacentral:rRNA from 1 species
UACGUAGGGUGCGAGCGUUAAUCGGAAUUACUGGGCGUAAAGCGUGCGCAGGCGGUUUUGUAAGCCAGAUGUGAAAUCCCCGGGCUUAACCUGGGAAUGGCAUUUGGGACUGCAAGGCCGGAGUUUGGCAGAGGAGACUGGAAUUCCUGGUGUAGCAGUGAAAUGCGUAGAUAUCAGGAGGAAUACCGAUGGCGAAGGCAGGUCUCUGGGCUAUAACUGACGCUCAUGCACGAAAGCGUGGGGAGCAAACAGG